rnacentral:rRNA from 1 species
UCAAGUGAAGAAGCGCAUACGGUGGAUGCCUUGGCAGUCAGAGGCGAUGAAAGACGUGGUAGCCUGCGAAAAGCUUCGGGGAGUCGGCAAACAGACUUUGAUCCGGAGAUCUCUGAAUGGGGGAACCCACCUAGGAUAACCUAGGUAUCUUGUACUGAAUCCAUAGGUGCAAGAGGCGAACCAGGGGAACUGAAACAUCUAAGUACCCUGAGGAAAAGAAAUCAACCGAGAUUCCCUUAGUAGUGGCGAGCGAACGGGGAUUAGCCCUUAAGCUUCAUUGAUUUUAGCGGAACGCUCUGGAAAGUGCGGCCAUAGUGGGUGAUAGCCCCGUACGCGAAAGGAUCUUUGAAGUGAAAUCGAGUAGGACGGAGCACGAGAAACUUUGUCUGAACAUGGGGGGACCAUCCUCCAAGGCUAAAUACUACUGACUGACCGAUAGUGAACCAGUACCGUGAGGGAAAGGCGAAAAGAACCCCGGAGAGGGGAGUGAAAUAGAACCUGAAACCGUAUGCGUACAAGCAGUGGGAGCCUACUUGUUAGGUGACUGCGUACCUUUUGUAUAAUGGGUCAGCGACUUAUAUUCAGUGGCAAGCUUAACCGUAUAGGGUAGGCGUAGCGAAAGCGAGUCUUAAUAGGGCGUUUAGUCGCUGGGUAUAGACCCGAAACCGGGCGAUCUAUCCAUGAGCAGGUUGAAGGUUAGGUAACACUGACUGGAGGACCGAACCCACUCCCGUUGAAAAGGUAGGGGAUGACUUGUGGAUCGGAGUGAAAGGCUAAUCAAGCUCGGAGAUAGCUGGUUCUCCUCGAAAGCUAUUUAGGUAGCGCCUCAUGUAUCACUCUGGGGGGUAGAGCACUGUUUCGGCUAGGGGGUCAUCCCGACUUACCAAACCGAUGCAAACUCCGAAUACCCAGAAGUGCCGAGCAUGGGAGACACACGGCGGGUGCUAACGUCCGUCGUGAAAAGGGAAACAACCCAGACCGCCAGCUAAGGUCCCAAAGUUGUGGUUAAGUGGUAAACGAUGUGGGAAGGCUUAGACAGCUAGGAGGUUGGCUUAGAAGCAGCCAUCCUUUAAAGAAAGCGUAAUAGCUCACUAGUCGAGUCGGCCUGCGCGGAAGAUGUAACGGGGCUCAAACCACACACCGAAGCUGCGGGUGUCACGUAAGUGACGCGGUAGAGGAGCGUUCUGUAAGCCUGUGAAGGUGAGUUGAGAAGCUUGCUGGAGGUAUCAGAAGUGCGAAUGCUGACAUGAGUAACGACAAUGGGUGUGAAAAACACCCACGCCGAAAGACCAAGGGUUCCUGCGCAACGUUAAUCGACGCAGGGUUAGUCGGUUCCUAAGGCGAGGCUGAAAAGCGUAGUCGAUGGGAAACAGGUUAAUAUUCCUGUACUUCUGGUUACUGCGAUGGAGGGACGGAGAAGGCUAGGCCAGCUUGGCGUUGGUUGUCCAAGUUUAAGGUGGUAGGCUGAAAUCUUAGGUAAAUCCGGGGUUUCAAGGCCGAGAGCUGAUGACGAGUCGUCUUUUAGAUGACGAAGUGGUUGAUGCCAUGCUUCCAAGAAAAGCUUCUAAGCUUCAGGUAACCAGGAACCGUACCCCAAACCGACACAGGUGGUCGGGUAGAGAAUACCAAGGCGCUUGAGAGAACUCGGGUGAAGGAACUAGGCAAAAUGGCACCGUAACUUCGGGAGAAGGUGCGCCGGCUAGGGUGAAGGAUUUACUCCGUAAGCUCUGGCUGGUCGAAGAUACCAGGCCGCUGCGACUGUUUAUUAAAAACACAGCACUCUGCAAACACGAAAGUGGACGUAUAGGGUGUGACGCCUGCCCGGUGCCGGAAGGUUAAUUGAUGGGGUUAGCGCAAGCGAAGCUCUUGAUCGAAGCCCCGGUAAACGGCGGCCGUAACUAUAACGGUCCUAAGGUAGCGAAAUUCCUUGUCGGGUAAGUUCCGACCUGCACGAAUGGCGUAACGAUGGCGGCGCUGUCUCCACCCGAGACUCAGUGAAAUUGAAAUCGCUGUGAAGAUGCAGUGUAUCCGCGGCUAGACGGAAAGACCCCGUGAACCUUUACUGUAGCUUUGCACUGGACUUUGAGCCUGCUUGUGUAGGAUAGGUGGGAGGCUUUGAAGCGUGGACGCCAGUUCGCGUGGAGCCAUCCUUGAAAUACCACCCUGGCAUGCUUGAGGUUCUAACUCUGGUCCGUGAUCCGGAUCGAGGACAGUGUAUGGUGGGCAGUUUGACUGGGGCGGUCUCCUCCUAAAGAGUAACGGAGGAGUACGAAGGUGCGCUCAGACCGGUCGGAAAUCGGUCGCAGAGUAUAAAGGCAAAAGCGCGCUUGACUGCGAGACAGACACGUCGAGCAGGUACGAAAGUAGGUCUUAGUGAUCCGGUGGUUCUGUAUGGAAGGGCCAUCGCUCAACGGAUAAAAGGUA